AUUGAACGCUGGCGGCAUGCCUUACACAUGCAAGUCGAACGGCAGCACGGGUGCUUGCACCUGGUGCCGAUUGGCGAACGGGUGAGUAAUACAUCGGAACAUGUCCUGUAGUGGGGGAUAGCCCGGCGAAAGCCGGAUUAAUACCGCAUACGAUCUACGGAUGAAAGCGGGGGACCUUCGGGCCUCGCGCUAUAGGGUUGGCCGAUGGCUGAUUAGCUAGGUGGUGGGGUAAAGGCCUACCAAGGCGACGAUCAGUAGCUGGUCUGAGAGCACGACCAGCCAGCUGGGGAGUGAGGCAGGGCCGAGACUCUUACGGGGAGCCGCAGUGGGGAAUUUUGGACAAUGGGGGAGUGCCUGAUCCAGCAAUGCCGCGUGUGUGAAGAAGGACUUCGGGUUGUAAAGCACUUUUGUCCGGAAAGAAAUCCUUGGCUCUAAUACAGUCGGGGGAUGACGGUACCGGAAGAAUAAGCACCGGCUAACUACGUG
rnacentral:rRNA from 1 species